GGGAGUGACUAUCCGGUCUGCAUUUGUUUUGUCGACUUGGAGAGAUUAUAUAUCCUCGCCUCGGGAUCUCCUCAGAGGAGCUUGAAAACGUUGCUCGGGAGAGGGUCUUCUGAACUACCUUGCUUGGCAUGCUGCCACCACAACGCAGCCCUGGAUAAGCAGGAAAUGGAUGCGUGUCUUCUUAGUCCAACUGGAACUCAGAUCAACCAGCAGUGGGGACAUCCAAACAUCUCAACAUCUUAGCGAGCCGAAGAGUUCAAACAUUUUCCAAGCAAAUGCAGAGAGAGGGGGAAUGAAAGGGAAAGGCAAGAAGAGAGGGAGGACAAGACACUAGGGGUAGGUGUGUGUGUGUGUGUGUGUGUGUGUGUGUGUGUGUGUGUGUGAGCGAGAGUGAUUCUGCAUGCACUUGUCCAUAUGCAUGUGAGUGUGUAUAUAG
rnacentral:lncRNA from 1 species